UACGUAGGGAGCAAGCGUUGUUCGGAAUUACUGGGCGUAAAGGGCUCGUAGGCGGCCAACUAAGUCGGAUGUGAAAUCCCCAGGCUUAACCUGGGAAUUGCAUCCGAUACUGGAUGGCUUGAAUCCGGGAGAGGGAUGCGGAAUUCCAGGUGUAGCGGUGAAAUGCGUAGAUAUCUGGAGGAACACCGGUGGCGAAGGCGGCAUCCUGGACCGACACUGACGCUGAGGAGCGAAAGCCAGGGGAGCAAACGGG
rnacentral:rRNA from 1 species